rnacentral:rRNA from 1 species
GUUGACCUCGGAUCAGGUAGGGAUACCCGCUGAACUUAAGCAUAUCAAUAAGCGGAGGAAAAGAAACCAACAGGGAUUGCCCUAGUAACGGCGAGUGAAGCGGCAACAGCUCAAAUUUGAAAUCUGGCGCAAGCCCGAGUUGUAAUUUGUAGAGGAUGCUUCUGGGUAGCGGCCGGU